CGUAGGUGGCAAGCGUAUACUCGGAAUCACUAGGCGUAAAGCGCAGGUAGGAGGUUUGGUAAGUCUGUUGUGAAAGCUCCCGGCUUAACUGGGAGAGGUCAACGGAAACUACUAGGCUAGAGUGCGGUAGAGGUAGCUGGAAUUCCCGGUGUAGCGGUGAAAUGCGUAGAUAUCGGGAGGAAUACCUAUGGCGAAAGCAGGCUACUGGACCGUCACUGACUCUGAUCUGCGAAAGCUAGGGGAGCAAACAGGAUUAGAUACCCUGGUAGUCCUAGCCCUAAACGAUGCUCAUUAGGUGUGGGAGGUAUCGACCCCUUCCGCGCCGUAGCUAACGCAUUAAAUGAGCCGCCUGGGGAGUACGGCCGCAAGGUUG
rnacentral:rRNA from 1 species